UUAACAGGAUAGCUCAGCUGGUCGAGCAUGAGACUCUUAAUCUCAAGAGUUGUGGGUCUGAAACCCACAUUGGGCAAAA